UAGAGGUCCAAUAUCUUAAUUAGAUCUUUUAACCGGUUAAAUCAUUUUCUUUCGCCAUUCUUGCGAGCUUCGAGCAAACAUCUGUGGAAGUCGAAUCGAAUAGGAAGUGGCAGAGAAGAAAAAUGUUCCUACGGAGGAUAGCAAGGCCAUUGAUGAUGAUGGCGAAAGUGAAGGAAACAACAGGUAUAGUAGGUUUGGAGGUAGUCCCAAAUGCAAGGGAAGUUCUGAUAAAUCUAUACAGGAAAACCCUAGAAGAGAUCAAGGAGGUACCUGAGGACGAAGGAUACCGCAAGGCAGUGGAAAGCUUCACCCGCCACCGCCUCAAUGUCUGUGUGGAGGAACAUGAAUCUGAAAUGAUUGAGAAACGGCUUGGUUGUGGUCAGGUUGAAGAGCUCAUUGAAGAAGCCCAAGAUGAACUCAAGCUCAUUGGUCACAUGAACGAGUGGAAACCUUGG
rnacentral:misc_RNA from 1 species